CUAUCUGCAGUCGACGCUUUGUCUUUACUGAUCUGACGAGCUUGCUCUGAUUUGAUUUUAUCUGACAAAGAGUGGCGAACGGGUGAGUAACACGUGGGUAACCUACCUCUUAGCAGGGGAUAACAUUUGGAAACAAGUGCUAAUACCGUAUAAUACCAACAACCGCAUGGUUGUUGGUUGAAAGAUGGUUCUGCUAUCACUAAGAGAUGGACCCGCGGUGCAUUAGCUAGUUGGUAAGGUAACGGCUUACCAAGGCAAUGAUGCAUAGCCGAGUUGAGAGACUGAUCGGCCACAAUGGGACUGAGACACGGCCCAUACUCCUACGGGAGGCAGCAGUAGGGAAUCUUCCACAAUGGGCGCAAGCCUGAUGGAGCAACGCCGCGUGUGUGAUGAAGGGUUUCGGCUCGUAAAACACUGUUAUAAGAGAAGAACGGCACUGAGAGUAACUGUUCAGUGUGUGACGGUAUCUUACCAGAAAGGAACGGCUAAAUACGUGCCAGCA
rnacentral:rRNA from 1 species